GUACGCUGGCGGCACGCCUAAUACAUGCAAGUCGAACGAAGUAGCAAUACUUAGUGGCAGACGGGUGAGUAACAUGUAGGUAUCUUCCCUUUGGUGAGGAAUAACACGAGGAAACUUGUGCUAAUACCUCAUAAGUCUUUACAGAGAAAGCUUUAUGCGCCAAUGGAUGAGCCUGCACUUGAUUAGUUUGUUGGUAGGGUAAUGGCCUACCAAGACAAUGAUCAAUAGCUGAUUUGAGAGGAUGAUCAGCCACAUUGGGACUGAGACACGGCCCAAACUCCUACGGGAGGCAGCAGUAGGGAAUCUUGCACAAUGGGGGAAACCCUGAUGCAGCGAUGCCGCGUGAGUGAAGAAGGCCUUUGGGUUGUAAAGCUCUUUCGUCGGGGAAGAAAAUGACUGUACCCGAAUAA
rnacentral:rRNA from 1 species